GCCUGUUGGUGGCUUGUUGUUAAGCGUGCUGAAUUGGCUCGUGCCAAGCCAGCUAUUCUUCCGUUCUCCAAUAUUCAGUGUGCUUCCCCAUGUUGUUGUCCCUCUUCACAAGGGCAAUUUGUUGAAGAAUUCCAUUUGCUACUGUUCACCGCAAAUGACGAAACGAAACGAGAAGCGACGCAACGUAAUGCGCGAUGCGACGCCACCACCGGAGGCAACGACAGUCCUACAUCUGAGUGGAAGCCAAAAAAGCUCCAAAGCAAUCAACGAAUCACUGCGAAUGGACUGCCGAUCCACUGGACUCUUGGUUAAUUGUGAUGAUUAUGAAUUUUAAAAUGAUUUUGAAUAAUGACUUUGUAUGUUUUUUCCCAAACUAUGACUAUGCAACUACAGCCCCAGCACCAUAAAGUGUACGAAUUACAA